GGAGCAGGCAGAGCUGCUGGCUGCUGGAGACCUCCUAACUGCCUUAAACUACUUCAUGCUGGCCAAAACUAGCCCAGUGCUGGAAAACAGCUGAAGAUUCAGGCUAUUUGCAGUGCUGCCACAACCCUGAAUUCGACCAGCAGAGACAAAAAGUUUCUAUCCAUCUCUUGCAUGUCCUAGGGCAGAGCUAUUGCAUUUCAGGGAGCAACCGCAUCGUUGGCAUCCCUCGGAUCUGGAACAAGAGCCGCAUCUCUCCAGCUCCCUCCAAAAUGAAAUCACUGGCACACCAGCACCUGCCCCAGCACCAAAAACCCUGGCAGAUGAAGCUCCAGCUCAGCACGAGCCAGAAGCGCCAGAAGCACGGGGACAUCUGAAGCUGCCUGAAAUCCAGAG